GUUUGGCUUAAGGAGCCAAAACUGUCUGUACCGAUCUUAAAAAUUCUCCUAACCUUUUCUUGGCAUUCUAAUGCUACUUAGGGCUCCGUAACUCUUCUCUGACAUCCCAGAAAUUAUUUCACGGGAUUCCCCUCGGGUUUAGGGUUACUAGCUGUCUUCACCGCUACUUCCCAUUAAGGUCACCCAUCACUAGGACACCGGGUCAUUUAACUUUGUUGUAUUUUAU
rnacentral:misc_RNA from 1 species